rnacentral:rRNA from 1 species
UACGCUGUAAACGAUGGAUACUAGCAUUCGGAGGUGUCGACCCCUUCGGUAGCGAAGCUAACGCGUUAAGUAUCCCGCCUGUGUAGUACGAGCGCAAGCUUAAAACAUAAAGGAAUUGACGGGGACCCGCACAAGCGGUGGAGCGUGUUCUUUAAUUCGAGGCUAAGCGAAGAACCUUACCAGGGCUUGAAAUCCCGAGAAGGCUCUCGAAAGAGAGCUGUGCCUUUUGGAACUCGGUGACAGGUGC